CGGGGCCCUAGCCCAAUUUCUUUAGUUUAGUAUUUCUUUGAUGUAUUUUGUAUUGUGUUAGGCAUGCCUAUAAAUAGUCAUGCCUACCUUAUUGUACUUCACUUUUAAGCUGAAUGAGAACUAGAUUUCUGAAAUCCAGAAUUAAUUCUCUCUUGAAAGUCAUUGGCUAGAGAGUCCAAAGACCUCUAGCCUCCUUCCAAAGCACACAACCUCAUUUUUUUUCAAUUUUCCAAGUGCUUCCGACUCAUCAGACGUCACGUUGAGUCACCAUUACUCCACGCUGCACCAUUCAUCAGACGCCACGCUUCUUGCGUCAGCAUCACCACCACGUCCACUUAAACUCUCGCAGACUCAAACUUUGCCAUUUCAUUUCUCGCCUUACUCCAUCUGCUAGGGUUUUCAUCCCACGCUUAUUCUCCUCACAGAUCCACAACGCCUCCCACACGGUGAUGGGUUGUCGCAGCC
rnacentral:lncRNA from 1 species